GUCACAAAGCGAUUUCCUCAGAGGGAGAGAACGGAGUGGAGAGAGAGAGCUCCGGAGUCCAUCCGCAUGCAGGAAGCAGCGCUGCUCUGGAUAUCACCGACCCCAACACGUCCCGGACCACUGGGCUGAGGCAGGAAAAGAGGAAGAAAGAAGUGUCAGACAAUGAUGACAUCUGAUCGGGGUGCUAGUUGAUCUCUCUUUUUCUCUCUGACAGCUCAAACUGUGGAUCUCCAAACGCACCAGGAGUGACUUUUUCAAACAUCUUUCCACUCUGGGUCAGUCCAAGUCCUGCCGUCCUGUUGGUGAUUUUAACCCGUCUUUAAAGUGUUUGGACAUUUUGGAUCUUAGUAUGAUUUUCUCUCAGAUUUAGCACACACUCCUUCCUCAGGACUAGAGAGUCAGAGGAAUAGAAAAGUGCACCGCUUGAUUUCCAGCGAAGCGCACGCAGCAGCAGCAGCAAAGAGCGCAGCCACGGUGCUCUGCUUGAAUCAGUGAAGGAUCUACAGGAGAACAAGUGCACAGCCAGGCGGAGAGAGACCGAGACACGGAGGGACAAGCAUCGAGCUUUGGAGGUUUGUUCAUGUUUGGGAUCCAGGAGAGCAUUCAGAGAAGCGGCAGCAGCCUGAAAGAGGAGCCGCUGGGAGGCAUGAACGUCCGGAGCUGGAUGCAGGGGGGCGGCGUGCUGGACGCCAACACGGCCGCCCAAAGUGGAGUGGGUCUGGCCCGGGCUCACUUUGAGAAGCAGCCGCCCUCCAACCUGCGGAAGUCCAACUUCUUCCACUUCGUCCUGGCUCUGUACGACCGGCAGGGCCAGCCGGUGGAGAUCGAGAGGACCAACUUCGUGGACUUCAUCGAGAAAGAAAAGGAGACGAGCGGAGAGAAGACCAAUAACGGGAUUCAUUACCGGCUGCAGCUCCUGUACAGUAACGGUAUCAGAACAGAGCAGGACUUUUAUGUUCGACUCAUAGACUCCAUGACUAAACAGGCAAUUGUUUAUGAAGGCCAAGACAAGAACCCAGAGAUGUGCAGAGUGCUGCUGACACACGAGAUCAUGUGCAGUCGGUGCUGUGACAAGAAGAGCUGCGGAAACCGUAAUGAGACGCCCUCAGACCCUGUUAUCAUCGACAGAUUUUUCCUCAAGUUUUUCCUCAAGUGCAACCAGAACUGCUUAAAGAAUGCAGGAAACCCACGAGACAUGAGGAGGUUCCAGGUGGUGGUGUCGACUACGGUGAGCGUGGAGGGACAUGUCCUGUCAGUCUCCGACAACAUGUUCGUCCACAACAACUCCAAGCACGGCCGACGGGCCCGCAGGCUCGACCCUGUGGAAGGAACGCCGUCUUACCUAGAACACGGAGCAGCUCCCUGUAUUAAAGCCAUCAGUCCCAGCGAGGGGUGGACCACGGGGGGUGCUACAGUCAUCAUCAUAGGAGACAACUUCUUCGACGGUCUCCAAGUUAUCUUCGGUACCAUGCUGGUUUGGAGCGAGCUGAUUACGCCGCAUGCCAUCCGGGUGCAGACGCCUCCCAGACACAUCCCAGGGGUCGUAGAGGUCACUCUGUCCUACAAAUCCAAACAGUUCUGCAAAGGCACACCAGGAAGGUUCAUAUACACAGCACUGAAUGAACCAACCAUCGACUAUGGCUUCCAGAGGCUUCAGAAGGUCAUCCCUCGGCACCCCGGUGACCCCGAGAGGCUGCCAAAGGAGGUGAUUCUGAAGAGAGCAGCUGACCUGGUGGAAGCCCUCUACGGUUUGCCUCAUAACAACCAGGAGAUCAUCCUGAAACGUGCAGCGGACAUUGCAGAAGCUCUUUACAGCGUUCCUCGAGGACACACUCAGCUCUCCGGCUCGACCCACUCCGGCAUGAUGGGAGUCAACUCCUUCACAGGGCAGCUGUCCGUCAACGUCUCCGAACCCUCACAAGUCAAUCAGGGUUUUGUGCGCAGCAGCAGUAGUGUGUCUCCUCAUGGUUACGUCCCCAGCACCACGCCUCAGCAGACCAGUUACACCUCAGUCACCAGCACCAUGAACGGCUACGCUAACAACACCGGCAUGACCAACCUGGGCGGCUCGCCCACUUUCCUUAACGGCUCUGCAGCCAACUCGCCUUAUGCUAUUGUCCCCUCCAGUCCCACCAUGGCCUCCUCCACCUCUCUUCCCUCCAACUGCUCCUCCUCCUCUGGUGUCUUCUCCUUCUCUCCGGCCAACAUGGUGUCAGCGGCCGUUAAGCAGAAGUCGGCCUUCGCUCCGGUGGUCAGGCCCUCAUCCUCCCCUCCACCCUCCUGCACCAGUGCCAACGGCAACGGGCUCCAAGAUCAAACAUUUGUGGACUCUAGCAAGUACUCAACAGCCAGCUCUCUACAAGGCCUGGCCUUCACCUGAAGUGGAAGCUGAAUUAGUGAGGAUGACUCCUGCUCCUGUCAUCUCUAAGCUCCUCCCACAUCUUUACCUGCACAUGAGGAAAAUCACUCCUGUAGAAUGCAGAUGUUCAGAGGGAGAUGAUGCCACAUCUGGUCCAGCCGAUGGAAGGUCUUGAAGUUCUCUGACUGGCCUCGACUGAAGAUGGUCGUCUCACUGGAUUUAAGGUUCAGAUGCUCAGUAACAAACUCCACCAAUGAGCCAACAGGGAAGCUUUAGGUUUAUUAAAUGUUGCUAUGAAGGUUUCGCUGUUUUUCUUUGUGAAUGCAAUGUGCUCCAACUGAAAGUUGAAUUAGAACUUAGAAGUAAAUCCUUCCAUCUGAAAGGAUUUAGUUGCAUUAAUAACCUCAUAACAUUCUAAUUUUUAUUCCAGUCUUGGUUGGAAAUAGAAUCUCUGUAUUGAUUCAGGUAAAAACUGAACUUCACAGCAUGUUGGAGCAAAACAAUCAGAUGAAAACUGUGAUGGUGUUGGAUUGUCAGACCGUAAUGUUGCAGCUCAAAGCAGCUUUUCUAGCUCAGUUCAUUCUGACAUUCAGCUAUGAAUCAACACAGUAGAUGGUGAUCCAUGCUGUGGAAGUCUCACAUCUCCUGAUUUAAUGGAGCUGCUUUGCACUUUUUACACUGUUUAUUCACCAACACUUUAUUUAAUAAAAGUCCCAUCUAGUUUUUAUGAGGAAUGUGAUGUUUUAAUUUCUCUGUGAAUAACUGCAGUCUAAUGCAACAGCUGGAAUUGUAACAUCUGUCCUGAUAUUGAUCAUGAAGUAUUGAUCAGACUACUUAUGGUUAGCAGUCAUCCCUGAAGUUUUACAUUAAAAUCUUUACUUGUGUUGUGAACUUUGGUAAGAAGCAGAAACGUUAGCGUUGCCAUGGAUAUAUGAGUGUUAAAUUCUGUCCAUGUUUCCAUUUCGGGAAAUUCAGUCCAGUUCCAGAAUGUGGAGGAAUUUAGUCUCACAAUCACAGACAACAAAUAUUAUCUGAAAGUCGGGUUAUUGUUGUUUAUCAGCACAAUACAAAAAGAUUAAUGUUAGAAAUAUUCCAGUUAAGACUCUAGAAUGUCAUGAUUCAUGUAAAUUUACCUCAAUAAUAUGAAUGUUCAGGUUAAGAUUGUACAGUGAUAUUUAUUAUGCAAGUUUAGCUGAUUAACGUUUAUGACUCUGCACUAAAAUAUUAUUUAAAUUGACAUCAUUAUUAUAAUAUUUAGGGUCAGACCCUACAGUAUUGAGAUUAAAAAAUCAAAUAUUCUAUAAAAUGUAAAUACACUGAAUUCAUUUGGAUAUAUUUAAGUGAGACUCUACAAUAUUAUUUGACACAAAUCUAUCUAAAUCAAAAUUUUAAUCAUUUUUACUUCAAACAUUUACUGAACUGAUUUAAAUAUUAAAAUCACUCCUUUCUAAUCCUCUGCUGUACGUUCAAACCUGAGGCCUUAAAUAGAAACACACAAGUAUCUGAUUGAAGGAACUUCUGCAGAGUCCUGGUUCCAGAACAUGAUGAUAGAAUUAUAGACAAACUUUAACAAAAGCUGCCUGAGAGUUUACAGGUUUUUAUGUUAAAUUUCUUCAGUAAUUUAAUGAGAGUUAUCAGCAAAAAAUCAAGUGUUCAUUUGAUGAACUUCAUUUCCUAAAACAUCCAGAAUUGGAGCUCAUAUCUUUGGCAGCUGUAAAGUUUCUGCUCCUUCAAAGUUCACAACACAAUGAAUGAAUUCCUAAAACACUCUCAAUGCUGGAGAGCGUUUGUGAUGCUGAAGCAGUGAUCAGUUUUUCUGUUUCUUCUCUGGAGAUGCACGAGGGACGUCUGCAGAGACUGAGAAAGAGUCUCACCACAUCCUGACAUGAGGAAAAAGACUUUAUUAAAGACUACAAUGAGAAAAACUAGCAGACGGCUGCAUUCAAGGUGAGCUCUGAACAUUUGAUCUGGAACAGGAAUUCAAUAACGGCAGCAUGAGCUUCAUUUCAGUCUGUAGCUGCUGAAUUCAUGGAUGAAUCAUCUGGCACUAGAGAAGAAGACCAUCAAACAUCCACAUCAGCUGAUGGAGGUCCAAGAGUCUCACCUAACAACCAACCUACAGAGUGAAGACCUCAAAUCUGAUUGGACGGCCUCCCAUUCAGUCACAUUUUAGGCUGUUAGAUUGUUCCAGAUAAGACAAGUACAAGAUUCUUCAGAGCCAUUCUACCACGAGCCUGAGAGGAAGAACUCCAACAGCUACUGAAUGUUCCUGUGGUUCCCUCAAGGCUACAGGAGGAGCCCUACGAGGACGAGCUGAUCCACCUGAUGGAGGCCAGUCGCUGUGGUUCAAAGCCAACACCGUCUACGUGGACUUUUACUGGACCACACGGAGGCCUUCAAACCGGACCAACAAGUUCAGCGACUCCCCGACUCGUGGGUCUGAGGACGCCACCAAGCCUCGGUCCAGCCGGCCUCCUGUCUGUGGGUGUUUGAGUGCUGAGAGGAUUACCACAGACCUGACCGUGAACACCGUUGACACCCACCUGAGGGACACGCUGCCUAAGAUCUCAAGGCUGCUUGGUCAUGGUCUUUCUGGUCCUGCUCCAGAACGCCUUCAUCAACUACGUCUUCUUUUGAAGAGGCCCUCAGAUGCUGCAAUCUCUGACCUUAAGGAGGAACUGCUACUUUCACUCUGUAACGAGACGGCAGUUAUUUUAAAGACCCAGCUCCUGUCGGCUUUGAAUGAAAGUUUAAUACCCAUCAAAACAUAAGUACAGACAGUUAAAUCUGAGCUGUCGGUCAGUAUUUCAAACGUCAAGUCUGACCGGGCUGCACUAAAGCACGCUAUGAGUGAAACGGAAACUUCACUCUCCACAUCACCGACGACAUCGUCACACUCCAAAGCAGAGCACCAAUCUGUUGAAUUUUUAAAAGUGGACUAUAAAUGUGAAGAAUGUGAGCAGCAGCAGACUGUGAGCAGUGGAACAGAUGUGAUCAGAAAGAAGUCAUUUUCUUUUUUAUUUUCUUUCUGGUUGACUUGAUGCUGUCAGAUGGAGCUGAUUCUGAUCUUUGAGGAUAAAAAGCUGUUUUUCCUUCACAGACUUUUCAGGAAAUUAUUCUCUCAGGUUUUCUCUGCUAUUUAUAUUUUUAUUAUCUGUGAUUAUUUCAUUAUUUCUUUAUUGUAAAAAUAAAGUUUGAGGUAUAAAGACUCAUUUAGUUAUUUUAAUCCUGAAAUCUUUGAUGUAGCAGAACUAAACUUCCAUUUUCCUUCUUGUACUUCUGAUACUAGAACUAAACGUAUCUUCAGCACGGAUCAUCUGCUUUUAAUGAAUCAGCAGCAACAUCACAACAACAAAUGAGACAAUUUUCAACAAAUUAAUUAAACUGAUGUCAUUUAAAACUAUCAGAGUCUGUUUUAGUGUCAAAUUAAAGCUGAUUACUGACAACUAGAACAUUAACGUUACUGUUUUAAUCACAUUUAAGUUUCCUGAACGUUACAUUAAUGUCAACCAGCCACAGUUUUAUGAACUUAAUGAACCACAUUACAGGAACACAACACACUUCAGCUGUUUACAUGAAACUCAACACAUUAGCUUGAUGCUACGUUAGCCUUAAUCAGUCUAAGACUGAGCAGCUAGCUCGGUUAGCAUCGCUAACAUUAAAGCUAAUAUUUACUAUGCUAACUUUCUUGUCUGGUCAACACACACUGAAACAAACUCCACCAACAUCUGGAGUGCAUGGCACACAUUACAUCUGACACUAAAGCUGCAUAUAAAGUGCAUUAAAAGCGGCACCGAUACGAAAAUAAACAUUUACUUACUGAACUAUUAGAGUCCUUUCAGUGUCUGCUGGUAGAAUCAGCCGAAGGCAGAAAACUGGUUAAAGCAAGCCAACGGGCAGGAAAACUGUCUGUGGAAAAUGUUGUGCUGCUCCACCGAUAAAUAAACAAACAGUUAUUAUACCAGAAUUAAUCCAAACGAGGAGAGCAGAGUCUCUGCUGCCUCCUCCAUAGGACCUGUCAAUCAUUCCGGACCGGACUGUCAAUCAAGUAGUCCCGCCCCCUGGCUUCGCAAAAUUUUAACGCUCCAUAAAAAAAAAUCUAUAUUGAUUUAUUUUAAGAUCGGCCACCUGAUCUCUCAUUUUAACCAUGAAAACUCACGAAAAAAAAAUUAUGUACAGUCUAUGCACCGUACUCUGUUUGGCUCCACACUUGCUGAUGACCACUUCCGGUCUCAGAAAAUGAAAAAAUGGACCUUUUUUCGUUUCUCUCUUACGGAUUUACUUUCUUGUUAUUCUAAAUAUAAAACGAAAAUCAAAGCUUUUUUUUUUUUUUUUUUUUUUUAAAUCGUAUAUCCCUUUUUGAUGAUGAAAAGGAAAAACACCUUGUAUUUAAAUUUUAAUUUUUGUAUUUUAAAACGAAAAUCAAAUAAACACUCGUUUUUUGUUUUUCAAUACCCGUUUCAGAACGGAAAAUCCAAUUACCAGAUCCGUACACGGACCCUAUGACAAUGGUUAGUGCUGAAUUUAGUGCCUAAAUGUGCAGAUUCAUAAUUUAUUUCAUUGCAACUGGGAGCAUCUGAGGCUGUAAGUUCGUAAAGAACCUCCAAACUCUUUAAACUUAGAAAAUGUAAGAGAAAAACAAGUCUGUCUGUAAUCAUUAUCCAUGUGACUAGUUGAUUCAACUUCAUAUAUGUUCCCAAGUUCAGUUACUUUAAGCUAGUUUCACAUUUUCACAACUCUUAGAUAAUUUGGAACAAAUGAAACAACCAAAGUCCUAUUAACACAGACUUUCAGUUGAAAGCAGGGAACUUUGCAUUUCUAAGCUGAAUGAACUUAAUAUGAUUUACAGUGUGGUGAUUACUGUUUAUCAGUUUUUCCAAAUCAGUGUGUUAAUGAUUUAUUGCCCCUACAAAGGAAUUUAUAUUUCUGCUAUUGUUAGUUCUCAAAAACAUUUUUAAUACAAAAUCCAAAGGACUCAAACUAAAACGCCUCAAGGAGGAACUUAUGUUGUUGGUAAUCUAGGAUCUCUGCCAUUUAUGAUUUCUGGGUUUUAGCCAUAUGACUAAUUGAGAAAUUGAUUCCAAAUAAAAACUUUAUUGUUGCAGUUUGAGCUGCAUGUUCUGUAUCUUAAAACAAAUGUAGUGUUUUCUGGGCAGUAAAAAGAUCUCAUCUCUGAGUGCACUGAUGUAGCAGCAAUAAAUUCACUGUUGUUUUCACUGAGAACUGAAAGCGGUGACUUCAUAAUUAGCAAAUGAAUGUGCGUUUGAGAGCGGCGUGAAGGAUGGUUUUGCAAAUCUGGCUUGUCUGCUGGCAGCUGUUAAAGGAAGUUCAUCUUCAAAGACUAAAUGACUGACUAUGGGAGGCGAUUAAGAACAUUUACAAAUGUUGACAUUUCAACAUUUCAGCUUUCAAAUCAAACAGCGUGGGCUUCAUUCUCUGACAGAGGUGUUUGAAAAGCAAUUAAGUUUUUAGCAAAAUCGAUUUUCGCAUCUCCAGUCGGCCCCACCACCACCACACCCCGCUGUAACAUACAUUCAUACACAAACAUACACACAUACACACACACCCUCAUGAGAUCUCACAGUCAAUGUUUGAAGCUGUAAAGAUUGUCAGGAUGCGUUUUUGCCAGAAAGCCCAUGGGCCUCAUUUUCAUUUCUCAUCUUUAAGAACUGAGAAGAGCUUUCACAUGUUAAACAAGGUGUAUGUGUGCGUCACAGUUAUAGAUGCUUCUGCAGUUCAGAGAGGAAAUAAAAACUACACAUAAAUAGUUUAGUAUAGGGGUGUAAAGUGGAGGGGGAAUGUAUGUUUUACAUAAUUGUAAAGAAGUGUAAAUGUCUGCUGAUACACGAGGAGAGAAGGUAGUACAGGUAAAGAAAAAGAUCAAAAUCUCACAUUAAUAAAAAUAAGUGCUGUAACCUGAGAACACCUGGUCAGUAGAAACUGAAAUUUUCAUACAAAACCCAGACCCAUUCAUUCAGUAACGGUGCUGUAGAGAAACUUUCCCUCACAGUAAAAUGUGAAUGUCUGCUAUCCUCAAACUAUAUAGUUAGGACCCCAAGUGUAAUCACAUAAGCACUGUCUUUUCUGAAGUUACGCAUAAAGUGCAGUGGAUUUUUCAUGUAAUGAUAUUGUCAAAAUGUGAAGCUGUUUAUCUGUUUGUUCCAACAUAAUGACAUUCCUGUAUUAUUAAACUGUACUCUCAGUUAUGUGUUGAAGGAAACUUA